UACGGAGGGUGCAAGCGUUAUCCGGAUUUACUGGGUUUAAAGGGUGUGUAGGCGGAUCUUUAAGUCCGGGGUGAAAUCCCGAAGCUCAACUUCGGAACUGCCUGGAUACUAUUGGUCUUGAAUUAUGUUGAGGUUGGCGGAAUAUAACAUGUAGCGGUGAAAUGCAUAGAUAUGUUAUAGAACACCGAUUGCGAAGGCAGCUGGCUAAGCAUAUAUUGACGCUGAGGCACGAAAGCGUGGGGAGUCAAACAGG
rnacentral:rRNA from 1 species